rnacentral:lncRNA from 1 species
AGGCACAGGGCGGCAGAGUGACAAAGCCACGGCUGCCUCCACCCGAAGUGGGAGUGGGAGUGAGAGUCCCUCUUACCAGCCCUCAACUAGGGAGAGCGUAAAAGUUUGUCUCAAGCGUUCCGAGCGCCCCAAGGUAAAGGUGGAAGUAAAUGGCCAAGUUGUAUGGAAAGAGGUAGGGUUUGGCUAUUAAUACUGGUUCCCACUUUAAAUCUCACUAGUGAGGGCUUUAGAAAGCGCUGAGUGUUUGGGGCACGCUUUGCGCUUUUUGGUCUCUGGGAUCUACCACUUAGUGGCCAGUGAUAUAUAUUUUUUUUAAAGAGCAGAAUAAAGACUUUCUUAUGUAUGCCCUUC